GGGGAUUUAGCUCAGGGGUAGAGCACUUGCCUAGCAAGCGCAAGGCCCUGGGUUCAGUCCCCA
rnacentral:tRNA from 1 species